UUCGGAUCGUAAAACUCUGUUGUUGGUGAGAACAGAUAGAGACAGUAACUGUUCUGUAUUGACGGUAUUUAACCAGAAAGUCACGGCUAACUACGUGCCAGCAGCCGCGGUAAUACGUAGGUGGCAAGCGUUGUCCGGAUUUAUUGGGCGUAAAGCGAGCGCAGGCGGUUUUUUAAGUCUGAUGUGAAAGCCCUCGGCUCAACCGGGGAAGUGCAUCGGAAACUGGGAUACUUGAGUGCAGAAGAGGAGAGUGGAAUUCCAUGUGUAGCGGUGAAAUGCGUAGAUAUAUGGAAGAACACCAGUGGCGAAGGCGGCUCUCUGGUCUGUAACUGACGCUGAGGCUCGAAAGCAUGGGUAGCAAACAGGAUUAGAUACCCUGGUAGUCCAUGCCGUAAACGAUGAAUGCUAAGUGUUGGAGGGUUUCCGCCCUUCAGUGCUGCAGCUAACGCAUUAAGCACUCCGCC
rnacentral:rRNA from 2 species